AUUGAACGCAGGCGGCAGGCUUAACACAUGCAAGUCGAGCGGAGUGAUGGUGCUUGCACUAUCACUUAGCGGCGGACGGGUGAGUAAUGCUUAGGAAUCUGCCUAUUAGUGGGGGACAACAUCUCGAAAGGGAUGCUAAUACCGCAUACGUCCUACGGGAGAAAGCAGGGGAUCACUUGUGACCUUGCGCUAAUAGAUGAGCCUAAGUCGGAUUAGCUAGUUGGUGGGGUAAAGGCCUACCAAGGCGACGAUCUGUAGCGGGUCUGAGAGGAUGAUCCGCCACACUGGGACUGAGACACGGCCCAGACUCCUACGGGAGGCAGCAGUGGGGAAUAUUGGACAAUGGGGGGAACCCUGAUCCAGCCAUGCCGCGUGUGUAAAGAAGGCCUUAUGGUUGUAAAGCACUUUAAGCGAGGAGGAGGCUCUUUUGGUUAAUACCCAAGAUGAGUGGACGUUACUCGCAGAAUAAGCACCGGCUAACUCUGUGCCAGCCGCCGCAGUAA
rnacentral:rRNA from 1 species